AGUGAACGCUGGCGGUAGGCCUAACACAUGCAAGUCGAACGGCAGCACAGUAAGAGCUUGCUCUUACGGGUGGCGAGUGGCGGACGGGUGAGGAAUACAUAGGAAUCUACUUUUUCGUGGGGGAUAACGUAGGGAAACUUACGCUAAUACCGCAUACGACCUACGGGUGGAAGCAGGGGAUCUUCGGCCCUUGCGCGAUUGAAUGAGCCGAUGUCGGAUUAGCUAGUUGGCUGGGUAAAGGCCCACCAAGGCGACGAUCCGUAGCUGGUCUGAGAGGAUGAUCAGCCACACUGGAACUGAGACACGGUCCAGACUCCUACGGGAGGCAGCAGUGGGGAAUAUUGGACAAUGGGCGCAAGCCUGAUCCAGCCAUACCGCGUGGGUGAAGAAGGCCUUCGGGUUGUAAAGCCCUUUUGUUGGGAAAGAAAAGCAGCAGGUUAAUACCCCGCUGUUCUGACGGUACCCAAAGAAUAAGCACCGGCUAACUUCGUG
rnacentral:rRNA from 1 species